rnacentral:rRNA from 3 species
UGGUGGGUAGUUUGACUGGGGCGGUCUCCUCCUAAAGAGUAACGGAGGAGCACGAAGGUUGGCUAAUCCUGGUCGGACAUCAGGAGGUUAGUGCAAUGGCAUAAGCCAGCUUGACUGCGAGCGUGACGGCGCGAGCAGGUGCGAAAGCAGGUCAUAGUGAUCCGGUGGUUCUGAAUGGAAGGGCCAUCGCUCAACGGAUAAAAGGUACUCCGGGGAUAACAGGCUGAUACCGCCCAAGAGUUCAUAUCGACGGCGGUGUUUGGCACCUCGAUGUCGGCUCAUCACAUCCUGGGGCUGAAGUAGGUCCCAAGGGUAUGGCUGUUCGCCAUUUAAAGUGGUACGCGAGCUGGGUUUAGAACGUCGUGAGACAGUUCGGUCCCUAUCUGCCGUGGGCGCUGGAGAACUGAGGGGGGCUGCUCCUAGUACGAGAGGACCGGAGUGGACGCAUCACUGGUGUUCGGGUUGUCAUGCCAAUGGCACUGCCCGGUAGCUAAAUGCGGAAGAGAUAAGUGCUGAAAGCAUCUAAGCACGAAACUUGCCCCGAGAUGAGUUCUCCCUGAGACUUAGAGUCUCCUGAAGGAACGUUGAAGACGACGACGUUGAUAGGCCGGGUGUGUAAGCGCA